rnacentral:tRNA from 1 species
GGUCGCGUAGCUCAGUUGGUAGAGCACCACCUUGACAUGGUGGUGGUCGAUGGUUCGAGUCCAUUCGUGGCCACCA